AACGAACGCUGGCGGCAGGCCUAACACAUGCAAGUCGAACGAGAAGCCACCUUCGGGUGGUGGACAGUGGCAGACGGGUGAGUAACGCGUGGGAACGUGCCUUUCGGUUCGGAAUAACCCAGGGAAACUUGGGCUAAUACCGGAUACGCCCUUCGGGGGAAAGAUUCAUUGCCGAAAGAUCGGCCCGCGUCGGAUUAGCUAGUUGGUGGGGUAAUGGCCCACCAAGGCGACGAUCCGUAGCUGGUCGGAGAGGAUGACCAGCCACACUGGGACUGAGACACGGCCCAGACUCCUACGGGAGGCAGCAGUGGGGAAUAUUGGACAAUGGGCGAAAGCCUGAUCCAGCCAUGCCGCGUGGGUGAAGAAGGCCUUAGGGUUGUAAACCCCUUUCAGCGGGGAAGAUAAUGACGGUACCCGCAGAAGAAGUCCCGGCUAACUCCGUGCCAGCCGCCGCCGUAA
rnacentral:rRNA from 1 species